rnacentral:rRNA from 1 species
AUUGAACGCUGGCGGCAUGCCUUACACAUGCAAGUCGAACGGCAGCACGGGAGCAAUCCUGGUGGCGAGUGGCGAACGGGUGAGUAAUAUAUCGGAACGUGCCCAGUAGUGGGGGAUAACUGCUCGAAAGAGCAGCUAAUACCGCAUACGACCUGAGGGUGAAAGGGGGGGAUCGCAAGACCUCUCGCUAUUGGAGCGGCCGAUAUCAGAUUAGCUAGUUGGUGGGGUAAAGGCCUACCAAGGCAACGAUCUGUAGUUGGUCUGAGAGGACGACCGGCCAAACUGGGAAUGGAACACGGCCCAGAAUCAUACGGGAGGCAGCAGUGGGGAAGUUUGGACAAUGGGCGAAAGCCUGAUCCAGCAAUGCCGCGUGCAGGAAGGAGGUCUUCGGAUUGUAAAGCACUUUAAGUUGGGAGGAAGGGCAGUAAGUUAAUACCUUGCUGUUUUGACGUUACCGACAGAAUAAGCACCGGCUAACUUCGUGCCAGCAGCCGCCGUAACAC